rnacentral:rRNA from 1 species
UACGUAGGGGCAAGCGUUGUCCGGAAUCAUUGGGCGUAAAGCGCGCGUAGGCGGCCAGAUAAGUCCGGUGUGAAAGUCACAGGCUCAACCUGUGAAUGCCGCUGGAAACUGUCUGGCUUGAGUCCGGUAGAGGAGAAUGGAAUUCCCGGUGUAGCGGUGAAAUGCGCAGAUAUCAGGAGGAACACCGGUGGCGAAGGCGGUUCUCUGGGCAUUACCUGACGCUGAGGAGCGAAAGUGUGGGGAGCGAACAGG